CUUUUUUGAAUUCAUAUAUCAUAUAGUGGCUCUUCAGAGACACAGUGAUUAGACCCAAUAUUAUACUCAUCUUUGGUCUUAUAAAAAAAGCUAAAAUUUCGAGUCUUAUUUCUAUAAGAAUAACAUGAACUACUGCAUUUAAUUUCAUAGUGCAUAUAUCCUUUGAUGAAAAUGUUGAUUUUCUGAUGAUGUUGUCAAGUUAUGUAGUGUCACAACUUUGACGAAAAUUCUGAUCGGCAUGUUCUAUAUAUAAGGUGGCCACUAUAAUGAUUCUGUUCGUGACUCCAUGUUAAUUUAUGAUCAAAGAUAGCUAAUAGUGAUUUCAUGAUAUUACUGUUAUUUUUAUUAUGGAUGGACCUUGUCAAGCCAUAGUCGAACAAUACAAGCCUGCUUCAUGUGCUGAUUAAAGAGGAAAUUUAUUCGGUCAAGGAGACUUAGGGGCUUUUUAGCAUGCAAGAUAAAAUGGAAUGAAAUUGAAAAGUGAAUUUGUAGUUUUGAAAUGUCCUUUGUGUCCCUUAAUAAAAAAAAAUAGCGAUAAGAAAUGAUAAUUGUAAUGUAAUUAUCACAUGAAAUAGUGGACAUUAUAUAUCUUAAUAUGGAAGGGGAAAGCUCUUCCUUUCCUUCUACUAGACACCCCAAAAGUUUGGAUGUCAUGGCAGUCAGACUAGUUCUACCAUGGAUUAGGUACAUGUUGAUUGAUUUAGGGUGUGUUUGGAUAAACACCAGUUGGGGUGUCAAAAGCUCAUUAGAAAAUUUUUAGGGCCUAUUUGUUUAAGAUUAAAAAAUAAGUGAUUUUUAGAUAAUUUAGAUAUUUUAUGAAAAGAGAUUCAUUUUAUAGAUAUUUUAUAAAAACGGACAUUAUUUUAUGUUUGGUUACAAUAAUAAAAAAGUGAUUAUUAAUUAAUUAUUUUUAAAUUUUAUGAUAUCUUUUUUUGUUUUGUUUUUAUAAAAAUAAUUUAUUAAUAUAUUAUUUUAAUAUUUUAUGAUAUCUUCACAUAUCCCAUCUCUUUUAAAAAAAGCUUUCUCUCAUCUACCGUAUCAGAUUAUUUUUAAAAGCUAUUGAAAGUAACUUAAAAUAAUUAGAAAUUUGUUUUUUUGCGGAUUUUGAUUAUUUUAAAAGUUUAAACAAAUAUAAUAAAAUAUCACAAAAUAGAUUUUUUUUUUAUCAAAAAUAUGUUGAAACAAACAGGCCCUUAAUCUUGUUUGGAUAAAAAUUUUCUCAGAAGAGCUUUUGGAGAAAACGAUUGUCAAAUCUGAAGCUCAAAGAAUGAGCUUCUAAAGCAACACGGUUAGAAAAGUGAGUUGAUUGUUAGGUCUCUCUCUUUUGUCCUCACCUCUCUCUUCAAGAAGUAGAAAUCUGCUGCUUGACUUGCCUUCAUCUCUUUUGGCUGGCAUUGCGUACUGUUUCUCUAGUUGUUGUUGUUGCCGUCCGUGGAGGUCAUGGGUUCCGUCGACAUUGUUGUCGUGUCUGCUCUGUCAAGAUUUUUUUAAUCUAAACUCAUGCUUAGGCAGUUACUCAGUGUCUUCUCAGGGGACUGCCUUUCAGCCAAUUAUGUUUUGAAGAUACAUUUCUUGGUUAGACAUGGGGAAGACAUGGCUACUUUUCUCUUGUUAGUUUUAGCCUUUGCUUUUAGGUAGGGAAACACCGCUCCAACACUGGCUUUCAAGCUUUUAAUGGACAUGAAAUCUCAUUAGACAGUCUAAACAAUACUCUUGACCAUAUCAUUGGGAUAAAAAAAGCGCAAACAUUAAAUGGGUUGUGAACAUGCCAGAUUGCAUGUACCUUCAUUGCGGUAUUUAAAGAACCCUUUAUUCUUGAAGGCGCUUUGGUGCUCUCUAAAUGUGGCAUAUUCUGCACACAAGUAAGCUUCAAAGGUUUCUCAUUCGAU